GAUUUCUUAUUUGUAUGUGUCUUCAAAGUUUCUUCCAUAACCCAACUACUAUUUUCUUCCCACCAACCUCUUUGAGGACACCAUCAUCGAGACUUAAGAUAAUGACACUAUAUGCCCUAUCUAGAAUGUUCAUCAUCUGAGACUUUUCUUGGUUUCUUGGAUGAAGAUGGUUCUCCAAGAGCCUCUUCUAGUCCUUGAUGUACUAGAAGUGCUCUCAUCUUGAGCCUCCAAAGAUGAAAGUCAUUUUCCCUUGUAAACUUAUCAACUUCACGCUUUGACAUUGACAUUUUGAAGAUCUAAAGCCUAAAAGAGUGGCUCUGAUACCAGUUUGUUGUGAGGGAACUAGCAAGAUGCUGACUUAAUCUACCCGAAAACUGAAUUUUAAUACUUUUAGAUCUUAAAACUUUCCCAAGAACUGAAAACUUCAUCAAAGUGUUUUAGGUUUAUUUAACCCCAAAACAACAAGAAUUAAUCUCAGAUAACAAAAUAAGAAUCAAAGGUUCAAUGCAAAGAGAAUUAAGUGGUUUGGCUAAAUUAAGCCUACAUCCAGUGUGCAAAGGGAAGCAAGAUUUCAUUGUUCUCAAGUUUUUGGAAUACAAAGCUUCUAAGAGAAAGUAACAGAAAAUCCACUAAUAAAUUACAAAACCCUCUUUAUAUACAGAGAAAUCAGCCUUGAAAGUUCCAUUAGAGAUCAGCUUAUGGUUUAUGAGUUUGUUAGCUGAAGAACCCCGAGACUUCUACUCGAUUUAACGGCCUUACUAGCCAUUCGAAUUAAAACGGCAAAUGAAUAUGUCGUCUAGAGUAAGUGAUGCGCGUGCUAUACCACGUUUAUUACUUAUUGAAUUAGCUAGUAGUAAGCAAGUGUUAUACAACUCCUAGAAAUCUAGCAACUGAUAUGUGAUAUACAACCUCCACCUAGAAAUGGCUUGUUAGCUCCAACCAUAACCCAGAUUUGAGAUUUACACAUCAAUAAUAAGACUCAAAAUACAAACGGCUGAGGUGGCAUAUAAAUUUAAUGGUAACAAGCCCAUUAAAAGGAGGCUCACGUGCACGAAACCAAGUCCAAGAGAGGAGCUUGUUUUGAAAAUCUAUUAAUUCACGCACAAGGGACCAUAAAUCAUGCCCACUAUUUAGUUAUAAAAUUAAGUUUACAAGUCCCUAUCUUUAAAGCUAUAUAUCAAUUAUUUUUAUGGAAUAAAGACUUUGUUGUUUAAAAAAAUUAAUUGUAUAAUCUUACUAACUAAUUAAUGCAAGCCACAUAAUUUGGGAUGAUUUCUUGGGAUAAAAAAUUUGAGAUGUGUAACAUUACUCUUAUAUAUAAACAUACAACAUAUUCGGAAGUUAUGAACUGUAUAUUGGUGGGGUUGUGGAGACUUCCCACGCCAUAUCAAGUAUUCAUGGGGGGAUUGUGGGAUCUAUAGCUCAGCUCCCCUGAUAGAAGCUCGACAGGCUCGUAGUUAGGGCCGGCUUUAGAGUUUGAGGG
rnacentral:lncRNA from 1 species